AGAGUUUGAUCCUGGCUCAGGACGAACGCUGGCGGCACGCCUAACACAUGCAAGUCGAAAGGAGAAUUUAGGUUUACUUGAAUUCUUAGUGGCGGACGGGUGAGUAACACGUGAGCAACCUGCCUUUGAGAGAGGGAUAGCUUCUGGAAACGGAUGGUAAUACCUCAUAACAUAUAUUUAAGGCAUCUUAGAUAUAUCAAAGAUUUAUCACUCAAAGAUGGGCUCGCGUCUGAUUAGCUAGAUGGUGAGGUAACGGCCCACCAUGGCAACGAUCAGUAGCCGGACUGAAAGGUUGAACGGCCACAUUGGGACUGAGACACGGCCCACACUCCUACGGGAGGCAGCAGUGGGAAAUAUUGCACAAUGGGGGAAACCCUGAUGCAGCGAUGCCGCGUGGAGGAAGAAGGUUUUCGGAUUGUAAACUCCUGUCUUAAGGGACAAUAAUGACGGUACCUUAGGAGGAAGCUCCGGCUAACUACGUGCCAGCAGCCGCGGUAAUACGUAGGGAGCGAGCGUUGUCCGGAAUUACUGGGUGUAAAGGGAGCGUACGCGGGAUGGCAAGUCAGACGUGAAAACUAUGGGCUCAACCCAUAGACUGCAUUUGAAACUGUUGUUCUUGAGUGAAGUAGAGGUAAGCGGAAUUCCUAGUGUAGCGGUGAAAUGCGUAGAUAUUAGGAGGAACAUCGGUGGCGAAGGCGGCUUACUGGGCUUUUACUGACGCUGAGGCUCGAAAGGGUGGGGAGCAAACAGGAUUAGAUUACCCUGGUAGUCCACGCUGUAAACGAUGAUUACUAGGUGUGGGGGGAGUGACCCCUUCUCGUGCCGCAGUUAACACAAUAAGUAAUCCACCUGGGGAGUACGGCCGCAAGGUUGAAACUCAAAGGAAUUGACGGGGGCCCGCACAAGCAGUGGAGUAUGUGGUUUAAUUCGAAGCAACGCGAAGAACCUUACCAGGUCUUGACAUCGUAUGCAUAACAUAGAGAUAUGUGAAAUCCCUUCGGGGACAUAUAGACAGGUGGUGCAUGGUUGUCGUCAGCUCGUGUCGUGAGAUGUUGGGUUAAGUCCCGCAACGAGCGCAACCCUUACUAUUAGUUGCUACGCAAGAGCACUCUAAUAGGACUGCCGUUGACAAAACGGAGGAAGGUGGGGAUGACGUCAAAUCAUCAUGCCCCUUAUGACCUGGGCUACACACGUACUACAAUGGCAAUUAACAAAGAGGAGCGAAAU
rnacentral:rRNA from 1 species